GUUGGCUGCCGUGUUGCUGCCUGCCGCCGCAUCCUUUGCGACCUCUGGUGCCUUCUUUGCGCUCCAAGACUAAUCUCAUAGAUGCGAUAUCGCUUCAUAAGUUUCCGAAAGUCUUGGAAUCUACUAGCAACCCAACUGGAAGACAGCAUGAGUGCUAAGUGGUAAGUUGCUUCAGUUGUGUCUGACUCUUUGCAACUCCAUGGACUGUAGCCUGCCAGCCUCCUCUGUCUAUGGGAUUUCCCAGGCAAGAAUACUGGAGUGGGUUGCCAUUUCCUUCUGCAGGGGAUUUCUUGGACCCAGGGAUUGAAUCCACAUCUCCCGCAUUGCAGGCAGAUUCUUUACAGUCUGAGCCACCAAGGAAACCCUAUUAGUCAUUCAGUUCAGUUCAGUCGCUCAAGUCUUGUCCGACUCUUUGCGACCCCAUGAACUACAGCAUGCCAGGCCUCCCUGUGACAAAUACAAAUUAAAAUUGCAGUCAAAUACCAUGCCACACUUACCAGAAUGAUUCAGUGACUUACUAUACCAAGUGUUAGAGAGUAUGUAAAGCAAAUGAAACUCUUAAAUCUAGUUGAUGAGAGUGUCGACUCAAAAAAGAUGUACAACUUGAGAGUUGUGAGUUAAGUUUUAUUUGGGACAAAAUGAGGACUGCAGCCUGGAGGCAGCAUCUCAGAUAGCUCCAAGAGACUCAACUGGAAGACAGAGGACACAACAGCCUGUGGGGCAGAGAGUAGAGUGGAGAGAGAAGACAGUGAGUGUGUCUGGAGAGCCAAAGGCAGGUUGUUGGGCACAAGUAGAAAGUGAAAAAUAUUUAAAACUAAUUGUCGAGAAAAUACAUAUCAGAAUUUGUGAAAUGCAGUUUUAAGAGUACCUAAGGGACAAGUUUGCAACCUUAAAUGGUUAUAUUAGAGAGGGUUAGAAAAUGAGGACCUCAAUAAUCAAGAGGUUAAUAAAGGAACAACAGAAUCAACCCAGGGAAAGUUAAAGGGGAAAAUGCAGAAAUCAAUAAAAUAGAAAACAAAAUACAAAAGCUAGUUCUCUGAAAUAACAAGUAAAAUUGAAAUCCUUUUACAAAUUAGAUUAAGAAAAAAAAGGGAUGUAACAGAUAGAGCAGUG
ensembl:lncRNA